UGGAAAGGUAGCAGGAAGGAACAGUGUCACCCAGUACAAAUGUCAAACACUGGAUCCUGGUGUAAUUAAAGCUGGGCCCUCAGAGAUGUGGCAGAGGCUUACAAUGGUGCCACCACCCUGUACAUUACUCACCUGGUGCCUGUCAGGUGACACCUCAGCGUGAACAGGAAUAUCGCCUGACACCAUAGAAACACUGUCCUCUGAUUCAGGACUCACCAAUGGGGAAGUUAAAAAUUAACCAUGGCAUUUAUGCUACCCCUACGCACACCUUCAGACUUCAGAAAUGUCUCCUGGCAGAGGCCUCUUUGGCCUGAUGGUACUGUACCCUUCAUAGAGUUAUUAUUUUAUGGUUUUAUUUUUUCAUAGCAAACAGCAACACUAUUUCUGAACUGUGGCUGUUUCUACAGAAAGGCUGAGUAGUAGGGCCAAGGCUAUCUUUUGCCCAGUGUCCUGGGACUCUGGGGUAUUGUGAUAGCCCCAGAAAGUGAGCAGCCCUUCAGUGACUGGACUUCUAGAAUCUGCCUCGCCUGCCCUCCAGCUUCCCUGAGCCCCUUCUGACCAGGGUUAUGUUUACUUCCUCACAGCCACUUUUACUUCUAGAGUUGUAGCCCCAAGAAGGAUGUCAAAUAAGGGAACGAAACACCCUCCAGAGAGAUACCUCCAAAGCUCACCUAUAGAGGUCAACCUCUGCCAGUCCUUUGGGAUGAGGUCAUGAAUGCCUUUCUGCAGUGGAAAGCUUUGCCUUCUGCAGUUCGUGAGUCAGUUGUGACAUGGACAGCAUAUAGUCCUUCAACCUCAGCCUGCUCACUGGUGGGAUAUGGACCUAUUCGAGUCUGCUGCCUCAGAUAUAUGGGCUAUCAUUAUCCUAAGUGCCUGCACACCUACCCACCCCUGACCUGCCUGCCCUGCUCAGGAUUAACUCAGUCUGGAAAGCUUCGCUUGGCUUUUGCUUUGUUUUCUUCCAUUUGUUCAUCCACUAACCAUUAGGUGCAUGCAUGUUCAUAUCAGGCACUACUCUUGGCACCCAGAUACAGACAUAGACAUAAGAGCAGGCCCUGCCUCACAGAGCCCACAGUCCAGCUCUGCCUACCCCUGGGCUUUGGGCAGGGCUCAAAGCCCACUUUGUUGGCUGGGAUUCUGCUGUGGAGGAAUGAAUGCCUAGAACCUCAUGGUCAAGGCUUUGGCUGACUCUCCUAAUUUGUCAAUUAGACCCCUGCUGAUAUGGACGCCUGUCUAUAUCUCACACUAGUGCGCCUUUCUCUUUUCUUCUGGAUCCUCUGCGUGGGCCUCCCCAAAUCCAUGUGGUCGACUGACAUCUCCCCACCCUGGACCCUGUCUGGUCCUGGUUUCUUCCACUAGUACACCACUCUGUUCUUGAAAUGUCAGCUGUAGCCAAUUCCACCUGAGUAAUGACAGGAUGGAAGAAUCAAGUCACCCUCACUGCCCCAGUCCUUCAUAACUAGGAACAUUUUUAUUCAAUAUGUUCUUAAAGCAUCUUGUUUGAAAUGUGUCACAAUUAAAAACAGGAGCCUUUUAAACAGAUGUAGUAAUGGAGCAUUAAUGGCAUCUAAGUGAUAUCUGAGAGAGUUUCCCACCACAUACAAGUGUCUAGAGCCAUAUUUUGCAAAAACUGAGUAAUGGGAAAUGUUCUGCCAAGACUCAUCAGUUUGCUCUUUCUCUGCAGUCAUGCUGCCAGUGCAAGGAUGAUGCUGGAGACAGACAAACCCAGCUUCCCUAGGAAAUAUCAAUUCAAAGUUUCUGUUAUCUGUCCCUCUGCAUUCCUCUCUCCCACACCACCCCCAUCCUAGUAGGAGUUUAAUAUGCAACACAUAUGUGUUUCUCUUUUGCUGGGGUUGGGGCUUUGCUCUGGGGCCUGUAAGUCUGCCUUGCAAACAUAUGGGCAAAUCCUCCCUUUCCAGCCUCCUCUACGCCCAGAAUCCCCUCCAGCAUGGAGAGGGAAGGCAACACAAGCUCACACCACAAUAUGGAGAUGUUUAUCCAGAGUCACUGGCUUAGUCUCCACUCCAAACCCCUAAACACACUGUCAGCGAAAGGUCAGUCUCAGUUUUCUUUAAGCAAGGAGACUUUGAAGCUGCUAUUUCCCAAUCCAAGGAAUUCCAGAGGAAAGUUGCAAUGGAAAUUGCUGUGACCAAGGCAGCGGGCUAUUAAUAACAUUUUAAAGUCAACGAGCAUGUCGUCAUUUGCUCUCAUAUCAUUUCUUUCAAUCCCCACGGUCCCACCCACUACCAGAUGGGUAGAAUCUCAAGUCCCGGGCUGGUAACCCAUGGUUCCCUCCUCACCACUGAAAGUUACAACAAAGACACAAGGAACAGUUAAAGAAGCUCUACAUAAUCACCUCCCUCAAACCCCUAAAGAGUAUGCUAAAUUCCAAGUCAUCACUAGCCAGCCUAGAGAAGGAGGAAAGCCAACUGUUAACUGGAGCUAAAUAGCUAGAUUUCCAAAAAGUCUUUGGCCAAUUGUGUCUGUCUUUCCUCUCUCAUUUUCCCCCAUGGGCAAAAUGAGAAUAAUACUUUACCUGCCUAGUCCAUAUAACUAAGAUUUGAGAAGCGCUUUGAGAUCCACAGAUGGGCAAAAGCUAACACUUCAGAGCCCUCCUAUGGGCUAGGUCUUCACUGGCAUUCCUCAUACCUACCUUGUAAAUUAGAUGUCAUCUCCAGUUUUCAAAUGAGGAAAUCCCAUUCCCAAGACCCCAAGAAUUUGACCCA
rnacentral:lncRNA from 10 species